UUGAAUUUUAAUGAAGAGUUUGGUCGUAGCUGGCCCAUUCAUUUGGGCAUGUGCACACCUUCCUCUUUCAUCCCACACACACCUGUGAACCUGUGAGACAGAGAUGGGGAAUUUACUUGCUGCUUUUUGGAAUACAAAGGCAAUAGGUUAUUGGACCCCCCCUCUGUCUACUCAAUUAAUAUAAACUCAAUUUAUUUUAAAACGAAUGUAAUGGAUGUAACACAUCUCAUAC
rnacentral:misc_RNA from 1 species